GCUCAUGUGGGUCGCGGCAGGCGCGGUAACACUGGGGGCGGAAGUGUUGACCGGAAUUAGUGGGCGGAAGGAGCUCGUAGGCGGAUUGUCACGUCUGCUGUGAAAAGCUGGGGCUUAACCCUGGCCUUGCAGUGGAUACGGGCAGACUAGAGGUAGGUAGGGGAGAAUGGAAUUCCCGGUGUAGCGGUGAAAUGCGCAGAUAUCGGGAGGAACACCGGUGGCGAAGGCGGUUCUCUGGGCCUUACCUGACGCUGAGGAGCGAAAGCGUGGGGAGCGAACAGGAUUAGAUACCCAGUAGUC
rnacentral:rRNA from 1 species